rnacentral:tRNA from 1 species
AUAUAAGACUACAAUGGAUAGAACGACCGCCUCCUAAGCGCUAGAUACAGGUUCGAUUCCUGUUGGUGUACCA